rnacentral:rRNA from 1 species
UACGUAGGGGGCGAGCGUUGUCCGGAUUUAUUGGGCGUAAAGAGCUCGUAGGCGGUUUGGUAAGUUGGAUGUGAAAUCUCCAGGCUCAACUUUGGAGGGGUCAUUCGAUACUGCCAUGACUAGAGUUCGGUAGGGGAGUGUGGAAUUCCUGGUGGAGCGGUGAAAUGCGCAGAUAUCAGGAGGAACACCCGUAGCGAAGGCGGCACUCUGGGCCGGAACUGACGCUGAGGAGCGAAAGCGUGGGGAGCGAACAGG